rnacentral:sRNA from 2 species
AUAUCUCUCCGUACGGGAAGGAUGAGAAGCUUCGACUAAGGUUCGAUUCGAGCGCAGCGAGAACGCGUUGCCGCAGGCAACGACCCGAAGGGCGAAGCGCGCAGCGCUGAGUCAUCCUUCCCCCAC